UGGGGUGUGGCUCAAGUGGUAGAGUGCCUGCCUGGCAAGUUGGAGGUCCUGAGUUCAAACCCCAGUACUGCAA
rnacentral:tRNA from 1 species